AACGUAGGUGGCAAGCGUUAUCCGGAUUUACUGGGCGUAAAGCGUGUGCAGGCGGUUGCUCAAGUGGUGUAUGAAAUCGCCCGGCUUAACCGGGUGAGGUUAGGCCAGACUGGGCAACUGGAGGACAGGAGAGGGGCGUGGAAUUCCGGGUGUAGUGGUGAAAUGCGUAGAGAUCCGGAGGAACCCCAGCGGCGAAGGCGGCGCCCUGGCCUGUUACUGACGCUCAGACACGACAGCAUGGGGAG
rnacentral:rRNA from 1 species